rnacentral:rRNA from 1 species
UACAGAGGUCUCAAGCGUUGUUCGGAUUCAUUGGGCGUAAAGGGUGCGUAGGCGGCGAAGCAAGUCAGGUGUGAAAUCCCGGAGCUUAACUCCGGAACUGCACUUGAUACUGCUUUGCUUGAGGACUGGAGAGGAGAUCGGAAUUCACGGUGUAGCAGUGAAAUGCGUAGAUAUCGUGAGGAAGGCCAGGGGCGAAGGCGGAGCUCUGGACAGUACCUGACGCUGAGGCACGAAGGCCAGGGGAGCAAACGGG